CCCAGACUCCUACGGGAGGCAGCAGUGGGGAAUAUUGGGCAAUGGACGCAAGUCUGACCCAGCAACGCCGCGUGAAGGAAGAAGGCCCUCGGGUUGUAAACUUCUUUUGUCAGGGACGAAGAAAGUGACGGUACCUGACGAAUAAGCCACGGCUAACUACGUGCCAGCAGCCGCGGUAAUACGUAGGUGGCAAGCGUUGUCCGGAUUUACUGGGUGUAAAGGGCGUGUAGCCGGGUUGACAAGUCAGAUGUGAAAUCCUGCGGCUUAACCGCAGAACUACAUUUGAAACUGUUGAUCUUGAGUACUGGAGAGGCAGACGGAAUUCCUAGUGUAGCGGUGAAAUGCGUAGAUAUUAGGAGGAACACCAGUGGCGAAGGCGGUCUGCUGGACAGCAACUGACGGUGAGGCGCGAAAGCGUGGGGAGCAAACAGGAUUAGAUACCCUAGUACUU
rnacentral:rRNA from 1 species